CAGCCGCCACGGGAAUACGAAGGGGGCUAGCGUUGUUCGGAAUUACUGGGCGUAAAGCGCACGUAGGCGGAUAUUUAAGUCAGGGGUGAAAUCCCAGAGCUCAACUCUGGAACUGCCUUUGAUACUGGGUAUCUUGAGUAUGGAAGAGGUGAGUGGAAUUCCGAGUGUAGAGGUGAAAUUCGUAGAUAUUCGGAGGAACACCAGUGGCGAAGGCGGCUCACUGGUCCAUUACUGACGCUGAGGUGCGAAAGCGUGGGGAGCAAACAGGAUUAGAUACCCCCGUAGUCCCUGUCUCUUAUAC
rnacentral:rRNA from 1 species